GACUCUCAAGGCUUUCGCGCGGGGCCGUGGAGCUUUCGCCGGCUGGUCUACUGCCGGGCGGGGCCGGCGAGACAGGCGCCCGGCCUCACCUGGCUUCCCUGUAGCUGCUUCUCCCUCUUGCGAUCGUUGGCGAGGCGGAGUCAUGUUUCCACAUUCAGAACGGGACAUGUGCCUUUGGAGUCAUGAACUGCUGUGAAAGAAGUCCUGUGACCUUGAAGCUACCAUUUGGAGAGACUUCAUGGAGAGGCCGUUGGAGAGGAGAAGCUGCUAGCCAAUAGCAGGCAUCAAAUGCCUGACAUAGGAUGGAUUUGGAAGAGAUCAAGGAAUCGUCUCACUUUAAGG